GAUGAAGAACGUAGCGAAAUGCGAUAAGUAAUGUGAAUUGCAGAAUUCAGUGAAUCAUCGAAUCUUUGAACGCACAUUGCGCCCGCCAGUAUUCUGGCGGGCAUGCCUGUUCGAGCGUCAUUUCAACCACCAAGCCCCAGGCUUGUGUUGGAGCCCUGCGGCUGCCGCAGCCUCCCAAAACCAGUGGCGGGCUCGCUAUCACACCGAGUGCAGUAGUUUACUCUUCGCUCAGGGCGUGUGGCGGGUGCUAGCCGUAAAACCCCCAACUUCUCAAGGUUGACCUCGGAUCAGGUAGGAAUACCCGCUGAACUUAAGCAUAUCAAUAAGCGGAGGA
rnacentral:misc_RNA from 1 species